UACAGAGGGUGCGAGCGUUAAUCGGAAUCAUUGGGCGUAAAGAGCGUGUAGGCGGCUUGUUAAGUCUUGCGUGAAAUCUCGGGGCUCAACCCCGAGCGGUCGUGAGAAACUGGCAGGCUAGAGUGCGGGAGAGGAGAGUGGAAUUCCUGGUGUAGCGGUGAAAUGCGCAGAUAUCAGGAAGAACACCCGUGGCGAAGGCGGCUCUCUGGAACGCAACUGACGCUGAGGAGCGAAAGCUAGGGGAGCAAACGGG
rnacentral:rRNA from 1 species